UCUUCCCUCUACAGGGAAUAAGGCUCCCUUCUAACACUCUCCUGCUGCAUCUCAAUUUCCAGGUCCCAGAACCUGAUGGAUCUUGUGAUGGACUGCACAGGCCAAGUUACAGAACAUUUUCUGGCAGAAGAAAACAAUUUCCACGGAUGUGUGACCCUCUCUCAUUUCGGAAGCAGAACCUCUGCAAAUCCAUUCGCCAAUCUUCCGUUGGUGUAAAUCAACCGUGUUCCACUGAAGUCCCUGGAGCUCUGUCUACUUACAGCAGUGGAGUGUUUGGCAUCUCUUAUGACCUAUUGAAUUUUGAAACCAUCUUCCUCUUUAUCCAAUUAAUUAAAAUAAAGAAAAAACA